AUGCAAGUCGAACGAGAAGUGGAGCAAUCCAUGAGUAAAGUGGCGUACGGGUGAGUAACACGUGGAUAAUCUGCCCUUUAGUGGGGAAUACCGUUGGGAAACCGACGACAAUACCGCAUAAUCCCGAGAGGGGAAAGCAGCAAUGCGCUGAAGGAGGAGUCCGCGGUCGAUUAGCUAGUUGGCGGGGUAAAAGCCCACCAAGGCUGUGAUCGAUAGCCGGCCUGAGAGGGCACACGGCCACACUGGCACUGAAACACGGGCCAGACUCCUACGGGAGGCAGCAGUGGGGAAUCUUGCACAAUGGGGGAAACCCUGAUGCAGCGACGCCGCGUGAGCGAUGAAGCCCUUCGGGGUGUAAAGCUCUUUCGGCAGGGACGAUAAUGACGGUACCUGCAGAAGCAGCUGCGGCUAACUACGUGCCAGCAGCCGCGGUAAUACGUAGGCAGCAAGCGUUGUUCGGAGUUACUGGGCGUAAAGGGUGCGUAGGCGGUCCUAUAAGUAUGGUGUGAAAUCUCCCGGCUUAACUGGGAGGGUGCGCUAUAGACUGUGGGACUAGAGUGUGGGAGAGGAAAGUGGAAUUCCUGGUGUAGCGGUGAAAUGCGUAGAUAUCAGGAGGAACACCGGCGGUGUAAACGGCUUUCUGGACCAUAACUGACGCUGAGGCACGAAAGCGUGGGUAGCAAACAGGAUUAGAUACCCUGGUAGUCCACGCCCUAAACGAUGCAUAUUUGGUGUGGGCCAUUCAGUUGGUCCGUGCCGGAGCUAACGCGUUAAAUAUGCCGCCUGGGGAGUACAGUCGCAAGGCUGAAACUCAAAGGAAUUGACGGGGGCCCGCACAAGCGGUGGAGCAUGUGGUUUAAUUCGACGCAACGCGAAGAACCUUACCUGGGCUCGAAAUGCUGUGGACCAGCUUAUGAAAGUAGGCCUUCCCGCAAGGGACCGCAGUAUAGGUGCUGCAUGGCUGUCGUCAGCUCGUGUCGUGAAGAUGUUUGGGUUAAGUCCCGCAACGAGCGC
rnacentral:rRNA from 1 species